rnacentral:lncRNA from 1 species
CUAAGGUCUUGCUAUGUUGCCUAGACUGGUUUUGAACUCCUGGGCUGAAGCAAUCCUCCCACUUCGGCCUCUCAAAGUGCUGGGAUAUCAGACAUGAGCCACCUGCCAUGCUUGGCCUAUCUGCCUAGGAAUAGCCAGGCAACCAGCUGCUACUUUGAGCACCCGGCUAAAAUAAGCAGAGACAACUGGAAGGCUUGAUGUGAAAAAGAGCUGUUGAAGUGUACACAAGCAAGCUGACUGCCUUAUGACUAAUACUUGACAGAACCCAGCAAGAGGAUAUGAGAUUGCAGAUGGAUGACCUCAAUCCUGAACAGAAAGGCGUGCAUGAUAAUGGAGAGAAAAAAGCCAAUGGGGAAAAAAAACCCACCACUAUUUUUUUAAUAGCCUAACACACACACAAAAAACUGGUUUUCCUUUUUCUGUAAUGUGUCUGUAGAGCUGGCUAUUCUGAUUAAAGUUGCCCUUGAAAAAGCAAUUAACUUAAGAGUCUUACUGGAAGUUAAAAAUCCCAAGGGGCAGGAAAAAUGAGUGUAUGGGAAGCCCAGUCAACAGGUCAGAAGGUACAGCUGGGAGGUUUUAGCAUUACGUACCGUGUGUUUUUCGUUUAAGGGAGA